AAUGCUUCACACAUGCAAGUCGAACGGCAGCACGGACUUCGGUCUGGUGGCGAGUGGCGAACGGGUGAGUAAUAUAUCGGAACGUAUCCAAUAAUGGGGGAUAACUAAUCGAAAGGUUGGCUAAUACCGCAUACGCCCUACGGGGGAAAGCAGGGGAUCUUCGGACCUUGCGUUAAUGGAGCGGCUGAUAUCUGAUUAGCUAGUUGGUGAGGUAAAGGCUCACCAAGGCGACGAUCAGUAGCUGGUCUGAGAGGACGACCAGCCACACUGGAACUGAGACACGGUCCAGACUCCUACGGGAGGCAGCAGUGGGGAAUUUUGGACAAUGGGCGCAAGCCUGAUCCAGCCAUUCCGCGUGAGUGAAGAAGGCCUUCGGGUUGUAAAGCUCUUUCGCAAGGGAAGAAAACUUACUUUUUAAUAAAGAGUGAGGUUGACGGUACCUUGAUAAGAAGCACCGGCUAACUACGUGCCAGCAGCCGCGGUAAUACGUAAGGGUGCGAGCGUUAAUCGGAAUUACUGGGCGUAAAGCGUGCGCAGGCGGUUUUGUAAGUCAGAUGUGAAAUCCCCGAGCUCAACUUGGGAACUGCGUUUGAAACUACAAGACUAGAAUAUGUCAGAGGGGGGUAGAAUUCCACGUGUAGCAAUGAAAUGCGUAGAGAUGUGGAGGAAUACCAAUGGCGAAGCAGCCCCCUGGGAUAAUAUUGACGCUCAUGCACGAAAGCGUGGGGAGCAAACAGGAUUAGAUACCCUGGUAGUCCACGCCCUAAACNAAGUCUACUAAUUGGUUGGNGGGAGUAAAAUCCAUGAGUAACGCACUUAAC
rnacentral:rRNA from 1 species